UAAGAAGCCAGACAUUAGCCUUUUGUGAAUGCUUACCAGUAAAACAGUAUAAAGUUCAAAGUAAAUGCAUUAAACGAACAAUAAGUGAGCCUGUCUCCUCCAGACAAAGCUACUUCUAUUUUGAAAGGCAACAUAAUCACCUGAGAUCACAACAGUGGUCUUGGAAAGGAACUCAGACCUGGAGUCAUCAGCCCACAAAGUGAAGAUCCAGUUCAAGACUGUAUCUAAAGAAUCUGAAGGUGCACAAGUACAUGGGACCCAUCCACAGGUACAUGAGAUCCAUCCACAGGUUCUAAGGGAACUGGUGCAUGAAGUUAUCAAGCUGCUAUCUAUUGUUCUCACUGAUUAGAAAACAGGGAAAAUGACCCUCACUUUCAAGAAGGAAAAAGAAGAAGAUCCAGGGAACUGCAGGCUAGUCUCACUUCUGUGCCUGGUGAGAUCAUGGAGCAGAUCCUCCUGAAGGCCCUACUAAGGCACAUAGAAAAUAAAGACAAGGUGAUUGGUGGUAACCAACGUGGCUUCACCAAGGGUAAGACAUGCCUGACAGACUGGGUGGUCUUUUAUGAUGGAGUUAUAACGUCAAUGGAUAAAGGAAGAGCAAAUCACAUCAUCUACCUGGACUGGUGCAAAGUACUUGAUAUCCCGGUUGCCAAAUUGGAGAAAAACUGGAUUUGAUGGAUGGACCACUUGCUGGAUAAGGAACUGGCUGUAUGGUUGCACUAAGAGAGAGAGUUGCAGUCAACAGCUCAGUGUCCAAGUGGAGACCAGUGACAAGUGGUGUUCCUCAGGGAUCAGUGCUGGAACUGGUAUUAUUUAGCAUCUCGGUAGGUGAGACGCGCAGUGGAAUUGUGUGUACAUUCAGCAGGUUUGCAGAUGACACCAAAUUUCCAUGGAAGUAAAGAGAAGGCAUUAAUUUUCAAUAAACUACUUGUCUUGAAAGCUGGAAAUACUUUCAAGCCAGCCCACAGUAGGCAGGAUGGUACAAGAAGAAACUUCAUUAAAUUUUUGAGCUGAUCAUGACUCCCAUCUAGAUUCCAAUCACAUGCGAGGCCAGCCUUCAUGCUGCAGACUCUGCCUUCUUUCCAAAGAUGGUCCAGAAGGAAACAUGUCAACUUGAGACUAUUGACAAUCUUCUUGAAGUGCUUAACCAGAACAGAAACAGAAAAUUCAGUUUGUAGAGGUAGCAGAUUUUUCCAAAGAAACUUUGUUUUAUUUUUCAAAUAGAUAUUGAAGAACACCAAAGUCAAGUAGGAAAACAAGGAAUGGAAUGGUACAGUCAUAUUAUGAACUGAGCCACAUCCCUGACUCUUAAUCUGGCUGCAAAAAUACUAAGCCUGCUGAUUUCAUCAAAGUUGCAUAUAGUUUUAACACUAGAUACAAGUUUCAACUUCCAAACUCAAACAAACAACCUCAGUUCUUUCUUCACAACUACAGAAAACGGCUGUUAACAGACUCCUGGGCUCUGUUAUCACAUGUAAAGGAAAGGAAAAAAACGGAAAAAGUCUGUCACUUUGUUGAAAUUUCUAGCACAUAAACAUCAUCAUGCAUUUACAGUAAGGAUCCUUGGAAACAAACUUCACUCUUCAAGUCUCUCAUUUGGAAAAUCAGAAGAGCUAGGCAUCAGUAGGACCUGUUAGUUAAGGACUUGCUGGGUUCUGUCUGCUUCCACCAUGGCCAUCAACUGCCAGACACAACAAAACAAACAGCCUCCACACCCCUGCUGAAAAAGAAAAAUAAUAAUUACUAAUGCACCUUCUAAAAUUCCCCCCAAAACAAUCCAGCAUAUGUUCUAAAAAGGCAUUCCUUCAUUUCAAUGAUGGUGCAACCAUCUGUGCCCCAAAGGCAUUCAGUUUCUAACAUUUUUGUCUGAAUAGGGUCUGACAUUUCUGUCUGUUUGUAACUCGUCAGGCAAGAUCUCAAGUAGCCACAAUUACUUCACAGGGCUGUAAAGUAAGAAUAUACAUUAAAAGCUAAGUAUUUGUGUGCUUUUAUGAACUUCCCUUUCCUGCUGUUUGCCUCUGAAAGACAGGUAAACUCUGUUCAUCUUAAAAAAGAAAAAAAUCAGAAAGGAAUAGUACAUGGAUAUAAGCAGUACAUGGAUAUAGGCAACAGCUGAGGAAGAAUUCAAUUUAACAUACGGAGUUCCAAAUAAACGAGUUGAAAACAAAACAAAAAUUAGAAGCAUUUUAACUCAUAAAGCAGACUUCGUAACUGCUAAAAUAGCAGAACGUUCCACCAAAGUGACAAAUGUUAUUACAGAGGAAAAUGUCAUUUGGCGUGCCAUACAGAUUAAUAGCCUAAUUUAAACAGGGGGAAAAAAAGAAGAAGGAAAAAAAAAAAAAAAACCCCUAAUAAAACGUCAGUAGCAUGAUUGACCAACAUGGAACACCCCAGUGUGCAGUAAAUUACAGAGCUGUAUCCUGUGGGAGUGUAGAGGUGCCUCGCAUGCCCGCUCACCAUUGGCUCCUCUUGCAGCAGCAGUGAGAGGCUCCCACAGAUGGCCGCACAUAGAGGAAGAACACAGCAGCGGGGGGCAGUGGGGAUAGAGCAGGGAUAUCCUCCCCUCCCCAGAGAAUUCCCCCACCAGGGAAAGCCCCCACAAAUCAAGCUGUUUUAUGAAGCACAAAGGAAAUGUAGCAGAAGUCCCACUAUUGCUAGUCAGACUAGUAAUAGCCGGAACUCUUAAAAGAAAUCUAAUACCAGUUUAUUUGUGCAUCUAAUACAUUUAAAUCUAAUACUGGUUUACUUGUAGUUAUAAAUCUCAUACUGUACUGUCUGUGAUGAUGCUAUGUAAAAAUCCACAGGCAGAAAAAUGCUACGUGCUUUAAAAUACAGAAACUUGUAUUUACUUACAAUGCUAUUUCCAUUCCAAUUCCAUUACAAAACCUGCUACUUCCUUUUAAAUAUUUAUUCAACUUACUUCUUGUGUAUUUUUUUAUUUCCUAUUGAUUAAUUAAAAACCAUUAUGUAACUUUCGGUUCAGUCUACUUCUAC
ensembl:lncRNA